rnacentral:rRNA from 1 species
CCUACGGGGGGCAGCAGUGAGGAAUAUUGGUCAAUGGACGAGAGUCUGAACCAGCCAAGUAGCGUGCAGGAUGACGGCCCUAUGGGUUGUAAACUGCUUUUGCGCGGGGAUAACACCCUCCACGUGCUGGAGGUCUGCAGGUACCGCGCGAAUAAGGACCGGCUAAUUCCGUGCCAGCAGCCGCGGUAAUACGGAAGGUCCGGGCGUUAUCCGGAUUUAUUGGGUUUAAAGGGAGCGUAGGCCGUGAGGUAAGCGUGUUGUGAAAUGUAGGCGCCCAACGUCUGCACUGCAGCGCGAACUGCCCCACUUGAGUGCGCGCAACGCCGGCGGAACUCGUCGUGUAGCGGUGAAAUGCUUAGAUAUGACGAAGAACCCCGAUUGCGAAGGCAGCUGGCGGGAGCGUAACUGACGCUGAAGCUCGAAAGCGCGGGUAUCGAACAGGAUUAGAUACCCCUGUAGUC